UGUGUGAACGCAAAUAUUCUACCGGUCUGCUUGCGCGAGCCAGGGAAGAAUUAGGGUGUAUUUGUUUAUACUUGGAACGAAAUUGACAUUUAACGUUCCGCUAUAAAUAUUUAUCAAUAAUUAUAAAGUCAAGCCCCAAAAUUAGACAUGGCUUUGCUGCGCGGUGUAGUGAAAUGAUCGACUCUCGGGAAAACAAACGAACGUGAGAUGUGUUUAGACCGUGGCCAGAGCGAACGGAACUUGUUGGCUAGCAGAAUUGCUGCGAAAAUUGAUAUGAACAUUAAUAACUGUGAUUCAAAUCUCAACUAUGAAAUUCAUAUUCGCUUGUAAUUAGUUAAUCCGUUUUAUAAGAUAUGACGAUGAUUUUGAACACCAUCUAUCUAGAAAGCAAUCGUGGUGAACACCCGAAAGUUGGACGGUACUAAACCACAUCAGUAUUGUGCGACAUUAGGGUCCAAUUUAAUCACAUUUUAAUGUACUGUUCAAACUGCCCACCAGUGUAUUGUUCAAACUUGUUGAAGCUCGGUACUUGUUCCAUCAUUCUCCGCAUUGUCACACGUAUUAUUAUAUGAUUCAUCGAGCUGUAUAAAUAACGCGGCACUGGAAGAAAUUGCUCUACAGUUAUACUUGUUCCCUCAUCUCCAGUG